GACGAACGCUGGCGGCGUGCCUAAUACAUGCAAGUAGAACGCUGAAGAGAGGAGCUUGCUCUUCUUGGAUGAGUUGCGAACGGGUGAGUAACGCGUAGGUAACCUGCCUUGUAGCGGGGGAUAACUAUUGGAAACGAUAGCUAAUACCGCAUAACAAUGGAUGACACAUGUCAUUUAUUUGAAAGGGGCAAUUGCUCCACUACAAGAUGGACCUGCGUUGUAUUAGCUAGUAGGUGAGGUAAUGGCUCACCUAGGCGACGAUACAUAGCCGACCUGAGAGGGUGAUCGGCCACACUGGGACUGAGACACGGCCCAGACUCCUACGGGAGGCAGCAGUAGGGAAUCUUCGGCAAUGGGGGCAACCCUGACCGAGCAACGCCGCGGGAGUGAAGAAGGUUGUCGGAUCGUAAAGUUCUGUUGUAAGUCAAGAACGGGUGUGAGAGUGGAAAGUUCACACUGUGACGGUAGCUUACCAGAAAGGGACGGCUAACUACGUG
rnacentral:rRNA from 1 species